UAAGACGGGGGGGGCGGGCGUUGUUCGGAAUUACUGGGCGUAAAGGGCGCGCAGGCGGCCUGGGAAGUCUUGGGUGAAAGCCCCCAGCUCAACUGGGGAAUGGCCUGAGAAACCACUAGGCUGGAGUGCUGGAGAGGGAAGCGGAAUUCCCGGUGGGGCGGUGAAAUGCGUAGAUAUCGGGAGGAACACCAGAGGCGAAGGCGGCUUCCUGGACAGACACUGACGCUGAGGCGCGAAAGCUAGGGGAGCAAACGGGAUUAGAUACCCCGGUAGUCCUAGCUGUAAACGAUGGGUACUAGAUGUGGGGGGUAAUUGAAAGUCCUUCCGUGUCGGCGAUAACUCAAUAAGUACCCCGCCUGGGGAGUACGGCCGCAAGGCUG
rnacentral:rRNA from 1 species